rnacentral:piRNA from 1 species
GAGAUCGAAAAUGGACUCAGGCUAAUGG